UACGUAGGGCGCAAGCGUUAUCCGGAAUUAUUGGGCGUAAAGAGCUCGUAGGCGGUUUGUCGCGUCUGCCGUGAAAGUCCGGGGCUCAACUCCGGAUCUGCGGUGGGUACGGGCAGACUAGAGUGCGGUAGGGGAGACUGGAAUUCCUGGUGUAGCGGUGAAAUGCGCAGAUAUUAGGAGGAACACCGGUGGCGAAGGCGGGUCUCUGGGCCGUAACUGACGCUGAGGAGCGAAGGCGUGGGGAGCGAACAGG
rnacentral:rRNA from 1 species